rnacentral:rRNA from 1 species
GACGAACGCUGGCGGCGUGCUUAACACAUGCAAGUCGAACGGAAAGGCCCUGCUUUUGUGGGGUGCUCGAGUGGCGAACGGGUGAGUAACACGUGAGUAACCUGCCCUUGACUUUGGGAUAACUUCAGGAAACUGGGGCUAAUACCCGAUAGGAGCUCCUGCUGCAUGGUGGGGGUUGGAAAGUUUCGGCGGUUGGGGAUGGACUCGCGGCUUAUCAGCUUGUUGGUGGGGUAGUGGCUUACCAAGGCUUUGACGGGUAGCCGGCCUGAGAGGGUGACCGGCCACAUUGGGACUGAGAUACGGCGCAGACUCCUACGGGAGGCAGCAGUGGGGAAUAUUGCACAAUGGGCGGAAGCCUGAUGCAGCAACGCCGCGUGCGGGAUGACGGCCUUCGGGUUGUAAACCGCUUUCGCCUGUGACGAAGCGUGAGUGACGGUAAUGGGUAAAGAAGCACCGGCUAACUACGUG